rnacentral:tRNA from 1 species
GGGGCCGGUGGCGGGGGCCGCCGCGACGACCCGGGACGUCGCCGGCGGACCGCCGGGCGCGACGGCGUCGGCCACG